rfam:Pseudomonas sp. TRMO17WK12:I11 isolate Yellow genome assembly, chromosome: 1
GGUGGCCAGGGCGUUCGCGGCAGUCGAUCAACGAAUACUGACUGCGGGCAACCCCAGCUACC